UACGUAGGGUGCGAGCGUUGUCCGGAAUUAUUGGGCGUAAAGAGCUUGUAGGCGGUUUGUCGCGUCUGCUGUGAAAUCUCAAGGCUCAACCUUGAGCUUGCAGUGGGUACGGGCAGACUAGAGUGUGGUAGGGGAGACUGGAAUUCCUGGUGUAGCGGUGAAAUGCGCAGAUAUCAGGAGGAACACCGAUGGCGAAGGCAGGUCUCUGGGACGCUACUGACGCUGAGAAGCGAAAGCAUGGGGAGCGAACAGG
rnacentral:rRNA from 1 species